UACAGAGGUCUCAAGCGUUGUUCGGAUUCAUUGGGCGUAAAGGGUGCGUAGGCGGCGCGGUAAGUCGGGUGUGAAAUCUUGGAGCUUAACUCCGAAACUGCAUUCGAUACUGCGGUGCUUGAGGACUGGAGAGGAGACUGGAAUUCAUGGUGUAGCAGUAGAAAUGCGUAGAUAUGACGGAGGAACACCGAUGGCGAAGGCAAUCCCCUGGGCCUGCACUGACGCUCAGUGCACGAAAAGCGUGGGGAUCAAAACAGG
rnacentral:rRNA from 1 species